rnacentral:rRNA from 1 species
GUAGGGAAUAUUGGGCAAUGGUCGGAAGACUGACCCAGCCAUGCCGCGUGCAGGAAGACGGCCCUCUGGGUUGUAAACUGCUUUUAUCUGGGAAGAAAAAGGCCAUGCGUGGCAAAUUGCCGGUACCAGAUGAAUAAGCACCGGCUAACUCCGUGCCAGCAGCCGCGGUAAUACGGAGGGUGCGAGCGUUGUCCGGAUUUAUUGGGUUUAAAGGGUGCGUAGGCGGCUGAUUAAGUCAGCGGUGAAAGAAUUCGGCUUAACCGGAGCAGUGCCGUUGAUACUGGUUGGCUUGAGUGUCGGAGAGGUACAUGGAAUUGAUGGUGUAGCGGUGAAAUGCAUAGAUACCAUCAGGAACACCGAUAGCGAAGGCAUUGUACUGGCCGACAACUGACGCUGAUGCACGAAAGUGUGGGGAUCGAACAGGAUUAGAUACCCUGGUAGUCC